UAAUCACCUUGGCAAACAUGGAAAGUUCCCAUUGGAAGAUUCCCUAGUAGGGAGGAAGUUCUACCCAUCAGGCUUUCAGUAUGUCCAGCCCUAAUGGCAAAGCUAAGCCUGGAGGACACAGAGAGUUUUAGGGAAAGACCUGUGAGUUUUCGGGUACUUUUGGCAAGCCCACUGAUAAGAUGAGAUGGGUGCCCCAGGAAGCCUUAACCUGAUCCAGGAACACUGCCUUGAGACACAGCCCCAUUCUGAUUCUUCGGUCACCUGGCAACCUCCUGAUUGUGAUCCUGUCUCUCAAGUGACUCUGCCAACCUGGGAGACAACAUUGUUCCUACAAGCUUUGGCCAUUUGAUGAUGCUUGGUGAACUAAUGGCCCCUGAUCAGGCCAAUCUCCUAUUUUGGAUUACUAUAAAGUGAAAGGAUCCUGCUUCUGUGUUAUUUAAAGUAGCCUGAAGUGAUCUCAUAGGACCUGGCUACUCCAGGGCAGUGGCUGAAAUAGCAAGUAUGUGCCUUCAAUUGGACCCUAGAUCUAAGACCCAGGAGCUUGCCUCACUCCAGUUUCUACAAACAAAAAGCCACCAUUUCCCAAUUAACUUUCUCCUAGCAUUUAAGAAGCUACCGGUAAAUUAACUGAAUAAGGUGUAUGAACAUUCUUAUGAACUAAAACCACACUCACUGGAUUGGGAUGCCGCAGCUGCAUGUCUCCUGUCUACCUUCUCUGUCUGUGGAGCUCUGGGCCCUGGAAGUGAUUCCUUCAAGAAUUACCAACCAACCUCAGGACUGCAGUUGGAUUCUACCAAAGAGAGGAGUUACAUCAGAGAAGAUGGGAGGAUGAAGUGGAGGCCUUUAUUCCCAUCAUCCCUGCAGGGUAGAAAUGGUUCCUGACACCUAAGUGCUAUGCUUCUGCAGAGAAGCCCCCCCAUAGGCCCUACCUACUGCUUCUGGAGCCCUGACUCCUCCCAUGCCCCCCUCAAUCUAGGACUGUGGUUUCCCGGGGUGCUGACCCCAGUGGGCUUAUCAUCCCUAGUUGGCUUUUCUUUGCCCUGCUGUAUCUUUCUAAAUAGUUUCUUUAUUAAACAACUUCCUAAUUA